GACGAACGCUGGCGGCGUGCUUAACACAUGCAAGUCGAACGGUGAAGCGCCUUCCUUUUUGGUGGGUGUGGAUGAGUGGCGAACGGGUGAGUAACACGUGAGUAACCUGCCCCCUUCUUCUGGAUAACCGCAUGAAAGUGUGGCUAAUACGGGAUAUUCUGGGUCUGUCGCAUGAUGGGUCUGGGAAAGAUAUUGUUUCGGUGGGGGAUGGGCUCGCGGCCUAUCAGCUUGUUGGUGGGGUGAUGGCCUACCAAGGCGGUGACGGGUAGCCGGCCUGAGAGGGUGGACGGUCACACUGGGACUGAGACACGGCCCAGACUCCUACGGGAGGCAGCAGUGGGGAAUAUUGCACAAUGGGCGCAAGCCUGAUGCAGCGACGCCGCGUGAGGGAUGGAGGCCUUCGGGUUGUGAACCUCUUUCGCCAGUGAAGCAGGCCUGCCUCGUUUGUGGGUGCGUUGACGGUAGCUGGAUAAGAAGCGCCGGCUAACUACGU
rnacentral:rRNA from 1 species